ACUCCUACGGGAGGCAGCAGUGGGAAAUUUUGCGCAAUGGGCGAAAGCCUGACGCAGUAACGCCGCGUGGAGGAUGAAGGCCUUCGGGUUGUAAACUCCUGUCAGGGGGAACGACGGAGAAAGGGUGACAAACCCUUUCCUCCAGACGGUACCUCCAGAGGAAGCCCCGGCUAAUUCCGUGCCAGCAGCCGCGGUAAUACGGAAGGGGCGAGCGUUGUUCGGAAUCAUUGGGCGUAAAGGGCGCGUAGGUGGUUCUGUAUGUCUACCGUGAAAGCGUACGGCUCAACCGUAUUUUGUCGGUGGAAACUGCAGGACUUGAGGCUGGGAGGGGCUGGUGGAAUUCCCUGUGUAGCGGUGAAAUGCGUAGAGAUGGGGGAGAACACUCGUGGCGAAGGCGGCCAGCUAGACCAGUUCUGACACUGAGGCGCGACAGCGCGGGGAGCAAACAGGAUUAGAUACCCUGGUAGUCCACGCUGUAAACGAUGGGCACUAGGUGCCGGCGGUCUUGAUCCCGUCGGUGCCGGCGCUAACGCAGUAAGUGCCCCGCCUGGGGAGUACGGUCGCAAGGCUGAAACUCAAAGGAAUUGACGGGGGCCCGCACAAGCGGUGGUGCAUGUGGUUUAAUUCGACGCAACGCGAAGAACCUUACCUGGGUUUGACAUGUGCAGGAUCGGUGAUGAAAGUCACUCUCCCUUCGGGGCCUGUGCACAGGUGCUGCAUGGCUGUCGUCAGCUCGUG
rnacentral:rRNA from 1 species